CAGCUUGGGGAGUCCUUCGGGGCUGAGAUUGCUUUUAGCUAAACCCAUUAAACCUGUGUAGAUAAUCCUACCGUAGGGAAGCUUUGG
rnacentral:ncRNA from 1 species